CAAGCCUGGAAGCUGGAGAGGAUGAUGAAGAAAACGACAAUGGACCCGAACAUAAGAGAUGCGAAGAAGAGGCUGUGCAAUGCCAGAGGGAAGUUUGUGCAAAUAUUCUCAUAGAUUCUGGUGCUGAUCCAAAUAUUGUAGAUGUGUAUGUCAACACAGCUGUCCAUUAUGCUGUUUAUGGUGAGAAUUUGUCAGUGGUGGCAAAAUUGCUGUCCUGUGGUGCAGACAUCAAAGUGAAGAACAAGGCUGGCCACACACCACUUUUACUGGCCAUAAGGAAAAGAAGUGAGC
rnacentral:lncRNA from 1 species